CCUUAAUCCAGGUAACGACCCUGCAGAAUGACUGUUAUCAUUUCUAUAGCUUUCAGAUAAGAAGUUGAAGCUCAGAGGUGUUGAAUGAGGAGAUGGACUAAUACACGCUCACAGAAACCCUGCCCCCUUAACCAGUGACACCAUACAGUACAAUCUGUCGAGAACAGGAGGCCAAAGACACUGCAAAAACAGAAAUUGAUUUACUCAGAGUCUUCAAGAAAAAGAAGCCGUGGCUAGGCAUGGUGGAUACGUGUUCUUCACGCACUGCCGAAGCAAACGGUCCCAUUAAAAGGAAGGCCCGGGAGGAAAGCUGACGUCAAAAUCAACUUAUUGCCAGAAAUCGACCUUCGAUUUAAAAUACAGGCACCUGGUGUUUUAGCUCGUGUCAGGAGCACACUUCCCUAAGAUUUUAUGUCAAAAGCCAGGCCUGGUUCAAUACACCACCUGCCGCACGUUCUGUUCUCUGUGGGACGCUGAAAGGGGUUCCUGGGAAAGUCGGCAGCGUUGGUGCCCUGCAGGAGCUGGAUACACGGCAGGAGGGUGGUUUCCUGAAAAGUGACUAAUGGAGUUCAGCUGUGGCCAAUUCAAGCCUACUGCCCCACCAGCCCUGUGACUGAAGCUGUGCACCGAGCCGUUGCAGGCGGAAGACUCAGAGGGAAAACCCAGGCUCCAGCUCUCGUGAAACACAUCAUUUCAUUCUUCAUUACGCCUGGAGGCAACUUUGUGGAUAUGGAUGUGGAUGUGUUUCUUCAUUCAUCUGGUGGUGGCCAGCUAGGCUAG